GCAGCCGGCCGGCCCGCCUCGGCGCAUUCGUAAACAAACCCUGGUUCAGUUCGGACGCAGAGAACACCCGAAGACCCCCUCACCCUUCACCAUCAGUGUAACACACUUGGGCUUCUUAUUUCGUCGAGACCGCCGGCACGGGAAAAUGUAGGCGAGCGGGCACUAGGUGCGGAGCGCGACAGUUUACCUGCACCCUACGGGGUCGGUGCUUGAACAAUCCGUACACGACGAUAACAGGCGUGAAUUAGAGUUUGAAAUACCUUCACACUUUGAACAAAUAUGAGAAGAGAACUUCGAGAUAUAGUUUAGAGCAGACUCGUAGUUUGAUCCAAAACCGUCGGCAUCAUCUGCCUUCUCUAAUACCGCACACUGAGGCACAGCAUUGGGAACGUUGGAAUCGAAAAGCAAAAAAUUCAAACAUGUAACGUAAGCCGCACCAGCUAUAACAAAGACGAGAGAGGGAGAAAGAGCGAGAGAAGGGGCUAAUAAGGGAAAGUGAGAGGAGAGAAAGAGGCUCUAUUCGUUCGCGGUCGAGUCCGCGAAUGAAAGGGCAGGGCGGAUGUUAACGUGGGUCUCGGCUCGGUCGAGCGUACCUUUUUGGGUGCCGUGACAGUUAGUACACCAUCCGAGGAGAGAGUCGAGGUGACAUUGACGAGGUCGUGAGAUGGCGGCAGGACGUAUCUGCGUAUAAAGUGCCUGCUGAUGUAGCCGUGCUCGUCUUGCUUCUCCUCGUGCUUGGCCUCGACAAUAACGUGGUUGUCGACCGUCUUCACCGAGAUCUCGUCCGGUGAGAAUUGUUGCACGUCCAGUAUUACCUGCGGAUCAGAGAGCGCGGCCCCGUGAAAAGGCCCCCCCAGGAAUUAUUAGCUUCGUUCAGGAUCUUCUUUCCAAGAGCGUCAUCAAGAAACUGAAAUUUUGCAUUCUUCCGAGAGCAAAACGCAAACGCACAUCGUUCUGACUAUGCAUCCAUAGAGCGCAAGUAUUAUUUCUUCCCUAAAACUUACUCCGAAAAUUAUGAUCGAAUUUUAAACAACGAGGCCCAUUUAAUUUUGUUCUUGUCUGACAAAUUAGCACUUAUAUUUUGGGUUUCUCUUUUGGAGCAAAAAUUCUUCUCUGGAAGAGUUUUCGUUCUCAAACGCCAUGCGUACAUUAUAAAUCGUAUUAACAUAAAAUUAGCUUGCGCACAAUCGUUUCGGCAAACUAUUUGGACCAGCAUUUCAUUUAAUUUGUAUUUGUUAUUCCAUAUUUCCGCGUUUAGGGAGCCGGCCGGGGCGAUCCCGCCGAUUAGGCCCGGUUGUUGAAGUUUCUGCUACGAGAAAAGAAAAUGUCAAUUCGACCAACUUUUUAGAUUCGUCUUGACCGUCAAAUAAGCGCGUCGCAAAAGGUAUUUUCUAUCUUUUUUUUUUUUCGAUUUCUCGCGUAACUCUCUUUUAUAUGUAAUCCCGCCGCGUCUCUCAUUAGAUUAUCGCGCGUUAAAGCGCGUUAAAUGGUACAAAAGCAAACCGGGAAGAUGUAGCUGUCAGCGCACCUACUUGUGUGAGAUUGUUCCUUUUUUUUUUGACAACCAAAAAACGAGCAUACACACAUACAAGUAGGUGAUUAUAUAUCUUUGUACCGAUCGCGAGUGCUGUGCGGUCGUGCCCCGGGAGCGAUCGGUCGCGACCGCGGUGGCCGAUCCUUUUCAUGGCCGAGCGGUUCGCUCUUUGACGGGAGAAAAAUUGCAAAAAAAAUACAAAAAUAAAAAAAAUAUAUCAGACAGGUAACGGUAUAAAGCAGGAAGCUUCAACAACCGACAGUAGUAAAAAUAGGUGAACCGAGUUUCUCCAGGUGAUCCCCUGCGUGAUCCUGAAGCUCGGUGAGCGUGAACGCAAAGUAAGUUAGGUGGAGGAUGAUUGGCUGUGCAUUUCGAAAAUAGUACCAAAAAAAAAAAAGAAUAGAAGAGAAAGAUAAAAGAAGUUAUACGGAGUAACACUGAUCUGUAAACGGUCGACUCGAGUGCUGCGCGCAGAGCGACAUAUUUUGUACAAAUAAAAAAGUAAAAAAGGGUUCCGAGUAAGAGAAAAAAAACAAACGUCAAAUUUUGUACGAUUAUUCUAUCUUGUUGAGGGUAUUCCAAAAAAGCAUUUAUUUUUGUAUAGAGAUUAUAGCCAGAAGGAUCGGGGCCUGAGGUCUCGUUCGCGUGAGCGGCGCCCCCUUCGAAAAAGGGGGCGCGUCCGCUCGUCGGAACGACGCCGCGAGUCUCGGUUCUUUCAAUGAACAAGACUGAUUAAGCGCGACACGAUAAUAUAUAACGAUACAAUCCACUCUUUCGGUUGCAUAUUUUAUUCCGUGGCUGCUGCGCGCGAUUUCUCGCGUGCGACUUUGAACCAAGAGCGUAGAAAGUACAGCGGAACGGAGGAUCAUUUCAGAGCUGCGGCAGGCAAACCGUGCGCGCGAUCGCGCGAGGAAAAAAUAUCGCAGAAAGAGCUAAAAUAACAAAAAAAAAAAAAGAAAAGAUUGAAGAGACGGGGGUAUAUAAAACGAGAAAACUAUGGUGGUAAAACUGUGAUUUCAUAGAGAUUUUGAGACAUUAGCGCGACUGAUCGGAGAUCGCGCAGCGCGAUCAUCCUCUUUUGAUACGUAUCUUUCGUAGAACACAUUUUGGCGAACGAGGAGGAUAACAGCGUCUCUCGAAGACAGAAAAGAAAGAAAAAAGUAGACAAAAACAGCUUAUCCGGAAAAAGUACGGAAAAGUCGUCUCUCCGAUCCGAUUUUUAUUCGUAUACUUUCUCUCGUCGAGGGGAAGGAUUAUUAAAAAAAUAUCCACUUAUCCUACCCCGAGCGAAAAUAAUCUCGAUCGAACACUCGAAUCAUCCUGUCAAAAAAUUACCGAGCUGCCGCUUCGGUCGACUUCGCGUCGCAUUCACAUGAUUAAAUAUAAUGUGCAUGCAUUGUGAUAGAGACAGCGGCAGCAUCAGCAGAUGCAGCCAUCAGAGCUUUCUGGGCCUUCUGGUGUUCCGGAUUUUUCGUUCGUUUUUUUAGUUAUUCUAGCAGGCGUUGAGUUUCUCUCGUUCCUUGCGUUUGAAUCCCCUCGUGUAAUUUGAGUUUAAUUUUUUUUUCAAUUAUUUUAAUGGCCACGUGGCCGAUUUGUCAAUCCCUUUGAAAGUAAUAUUCGAGUCCCAUUAGACAGAACCUCCGUUUGCAACGUUUUAAUCUUUUCUGUUAACCCAUUCCUCUUCCCGUUAACCCUUCUCCCUUUCCCUUUCCCUUAUUCUUUUAUUCUCCCUCUUACGAAUGCGUCUCUUCGUCAUCCCCCUUCGUCAUCUACUCCCGUCAUAUCUUGUCAUUUUUCUCCAGCGACUUUUCUAGAUUUCGAAAUCUAACUACGAUUCGCCGCUACUUGUUUUUUCGAUAGAAAAGGAAACACGAAAAGAGUUUACACUUAUUAUAUAUAUCGUAUUUUUUUUAUAGAAUAUACCACUUUCGAGACUCUUUGUAUUUGAUGCAAAAUUUGUUUUGCGUCCGAUACAAAUCGCGCUCAAAUUGUAAACACCAAAAAAAGAAUUACUAAAGAGAUCGUCAGUUUAAGUCGUGUCUCAGCCUAAGUUAUAAACGCGCAAACCGAUCACAUUUCGCUGUUGUAUCAUCAAACUUCCUCAACGGAAAUGUAAUUGUAACGCAUUGGAUCAGAGUAAUCUUGAAUUCAUGAAUUUAGAACUGUCCGGUCUUUUAUCCACAACAAAAUCGCGAUAAAUCUCAUUUCGACGUACCGACGACGUGCGAAUUCAUGAGUUUAGGAAACGUUUAGGCGAGUUAUACAUUUUGUAUUUGACAUAGAUGACCACCACUAUAGAAAAAAAGAGUGAUCGCCGCUUCAGACCGUGAUUAAGUUGUUAUCGCAAAAAUAAAAAAAAGAGGAAAACAAUAAACCGGUUAUUUUUCACUCGCUGGUGUAUCAUCGAACUUCCACGAGAUAAGAUAAAUAACGUUUAUAACAGGCCGAUAACUCUCUCUUUUGCGAAUUCAUGAAUUUAGACGUGUCACGACACUUUCACGGCGAAUAAAACGUAUUUCCAGCGCGCAUUUAUGAAUUCGAAACUAGUUUGGCGACUUUUGUGAGCAUAAUUGCAAAUUAACGAUCGAUACUGUCGAGUUACUAAGUUACAUUAAAAAUCUGAGGCAAAUAUAGUUGAGAAGAUCUAAGGGGAUCGAAAAUUAACGACUUUGCGGGCGUUUUAUCCAGUUUGAAUUUAUGAGAAUAUAAUCGAAGAUUUUUAAAGAACGUCGAAUAAUCAACGAGACAGCCCUUUAUCCUCGUGGAAAUCUUUUUGAGGGAAAGAGGGGAGUGCCUUUCGCAAAUUGAUCUAGGCUUGAUCUAAAUCGAUACUCGCGAACGCGACAACAGAGCAUUCGAUUGAGGUUCUUGGGAUUCUUGACUUAUAUCUUGUGUGUUUUAGAAUAACUGCAGCGUAAGAUAAUCGGUAUAUUCGCAGCGCGUGUUAAUUCUAGAUAUUAAUCGCGUGCAUAUCAUCCCGAAUCGCGAAUUCUUGUAAAUUUUUGCUCCGACUCGAUCUGUAAAUCGCACUUCUGAACAGUCGUGUCAGAAUCGCGACGGCUAUCGCGUAAUUUUCCUUGGACUAUGGAAAAUUGCGCGAUAGCCGUGGGCGAUUCUGCGUUCUCACUCAUAACGAAUAAAAGUACGCUCUAAACACGUCUAAAAAUAAUAUACUGGCUCACUCGCAUUCGGGACAUUCCGUGAUAAUUUUAACGCGCGUUGCUCCUUUGCGUUUUCUUGCCGCACUCUGAAACCAAAAAUCGAACGAGCGAACGCACAUGUGACAAGAAAAUAUCUUAAAUAGAGAGUUUUCCGUCUGACACAUUUUGAGAUCGCACAAUAUCAAAUUGCUUCCAGAAAUUUUGCAAAAACUCGUAUCUACGCAAAAGCGGCUUCAGAAAUUAUAAGCAAUUUAGAAUAAAAAUAUUCUCGAGGUGAAAUUAGCGGUGAGAUUUGAAUUGCAAAUUUAAUUGAGUGGUGAUAAUCGCUUUUUAUCGUCGAUUUGUGUUAUCGAUUAUUAUUAUUGAGUCGGUUAUUGCGUAAGAAAGAUAGAUUUGAUCUUUGAACUUCUUAUUGCGUUUUAAAUAAUUUCUGGCCAAUUCCUUUCUUUCGCAAAAUCCUGCCAGCUUCGGCAGGAUUCUGCGAAAGACGGAAUUGGACCAUCGCAGCAGUACUUCCGCCCUAUAAUGUAUUUUUAAGUAUAAGCAAGCUUUUAACACUUUCCUGACAAAAAAUGCUAUCGCAUUAAUGACUAUACGAAUAGAGGAUCCGGGGGAUUAAACUGAAUCAUUAGCUGAUAUCUUGAACUGACGUAUACAGGAUAAAAUUUAUGAGGCAUUUUUUGCAAAUUAAUUUUAGCAAAAAGAUGUCAUUUCAAUAAGCCCAUUUGAUCGCAAGACUUGAGCGCAACUAAACUAAACAUCAUGUAAUGCGCAUAAAUGCACAUUCUAAACCAAUAAUUAUGGACACAAUGACAAAUCCUAGCAAUUAAAAUACCAGCAAAAGCAAAACUAUUUUUAGAAAGCAAAUCUUUUAAUGUUAGGCCAUCAUUUGUGUUUUAUCAUAAAUGUAAAGACAAAGCAAAAAGUCGUUUGGUGAUGUAAAUAACACAAAAUCGUUUUACAGUAACGUCACGUAAUAUGUACGAGCACAAAAAAGAGAUAUAUUUCUUUAAAAAGUUCAUUGAAAAAUUUCCACGUUGGUUCUAUGAGAAUUUUUCGAAGCAAUAAACUGUAUAAAUUUUUAAUAAUAAUUAAUAAUAAUUAGCAAACGGAAAUAAAUAUAAAAAUAUAAUUAGAAAGUAUUAAUUCGAACACAGCAAGUGAUACAAAAAAUAGUUCCUUGGCAACAUCUUUUUGAAUAAAAUUGCAUAUUACGACAACAGAAAUAAACAGAUAUUUUGACACAUCUCAGUCGAGUAAAAUAAUCCAGUAAAAUAUGAUUAAUAAAAUUAUUCAAAAUUUCAAUGAGCAGACAAAUUUGAAAAUAGAUACUUUAGACUUUAGACGUAUUAUUUCGCUGAUCCCUUGACAAAGGCAGAAGACAAGUUGCACAUAAAAAUUCUCUUUUGCUCAUAGAUAUUCAUAAAGAAAAACAGUAUGCAACUUCACUUUCGAUCUGAUCGCAUCACGCGACAUUCUAUUUCACUUCUGUGCGCGAAAUCGUUUUAAAUACCAACCUGGAAAGUAUCAUUGUCCAACUGGAUAGUGCUAGAUCCGCUUGAAUUCUGACGCGCCACGUUCCUCCAUGGUCGAUAGUACGUGUUUCCGAUAAUCGAGCGUAAAGGGGCUCGAUUGAGACCAAGACCGGUGAAAUUCGAGAUCAGAUCAUCUCGAAGGAGGCCAGUGCCGAAGUGUUGAUCCAAAAGUCGCGAGACGGGACGAUCGAUAUCGUCCCACCAAUCGCGGAAAACCAUCGGCACAAUCGACAUCUGCGAAUCACAAUCGAACAAUCAAUAAUGACCGAUCGGUGCUCGAACAACAAAGAGAAAUAUACAAUUUUAUAGAAAUACGAAAGAAUACAAUAUAGACGUCCCGGGCGAGAAAUACGCGUGAAUGAAGUUUGGCGGUUAAAUAUCACAACUAUAGCAUAUAUACAUACAUAUACAUGCAUAUAUGUAUUAUAUGUAUAUAUAUAUGCACUAUUAAUUCUACGUAUAGAUAUUAAGAAUUAAGCUAGACUGCACAAAGGCGAUAAAAUCAUUAGUUCUCGUGUUUAAUUCAUCGGAUGAUGUUUCUAGGACUAUCGUUAAGUGUAUAAUUAAUCUCUCGAACUUACUUGGAACACUAUUAAUGUACGAGCACAUAGACAGGCACACGCGAUCUUAGAAUAAGAAAAACCAAUGUCACGAUUCUACACGUCGGCCGAAGUACACCUCGAUUUAAAAAAAAAAAAGACUUAUCGAAAUCCGCGUCAUCCAUUCCGGAAUGGACGAAUAUAAGACGGCGACGAUGCCAUACGCAUUUAUAAGUAAAGGUCACAAUAAGAGAGUCUCGUUUUCUCGACCGCAUAUGUCGUAAUUAUAAUUACUCUAGACUACUCGUUGGUUAAGUGAUAGUUUUUAGGGGAACGUAAGAACGCGUUAGCCGACACGUGAACCACGUACUGUACGUAAAACAAAAAAAAAAAAAAUAAAAAUCGACAUCAAAACGACACUCUCCCUUCGUUAAACGUAACACGUACGGGAAGUUCUUCACUCUCACUGAAAUUCUUGCCAUUCACGGGCAAUAGACGAAUCCUUCAAUGCAAUACAGUACUGCAGAUGAUACUUAAUACCUCGGAGAAUACGACUUCUCUCUCGCAUGGCAAUAGAAUCCUCGCAUUGACAGAAUUAAAGGCAACAUCUAGUAAACGAAAGGGAGAUUAUUAGUAAAUCGAAUAGAAACCGGUUUCUCACGACGGAUACUCGGAAAAAUACAAAAAAUUCAAUAAAGUUUAAACUGUAGUCAUAAGCCAUAAGACAGCGAGAGCUCGACCGAAACACAGCAAAGCUAGUCCGUUCGCGUAAGAUUACGUAUAGGGAGUUUAAACUCGAAAUCUCAAGACGAUGGAUUAUCGGGAUUUAAGUAUCGACCAACUACGCGAUGGAACAACGAUGACUAAUCAGAUAGCGCAGGUACUAGUUUAAAGUCACACGCCCCCACUAUUAAACGUUACUAAGGAUCAUACACGCAUCCAAACACGCGAUUUACGAUCACCGAACACAAUCAAAUUAACGACUAAAGAUCUCGCGCUAAAAUUCUUCAUAAUCACCUUUUCUUUCUCCUUCGACUAAGGAUACGUAUCCUUGAUGUCCGUUCGCGAUGGUAAUUCAGUGGGGGAGAUUUUCACAGAUGAGGAUAUAAGGACCGUUAGCUUAAGAUUAUUUCGCACAAAACGUACCGAUAAGCUCACAUCCUGAUCUAAAAGACGAAACAAAAAUAUAGAGACGUAGACGAAUAACGUUACUUUUAAGUAAAUAAUUCUAAGAUUACCGUAAGUUAUACGCUAAGCGACUUAGACUUACAAGCUGUUAGUGGGCUAGUAAGGACGUGAGGUAAAGAAAGUAUUCCAGUAGUACACACAUUCGCGAAGAGAAAAACGUGUAACGUAAAAAACGAGCAUAGUACUAUCGUACUUUACGUGGAACGUGAAGAGCCGAUCGGUCAACUUGAAGGUCACCAAACAAUUCCGGAGUCGACUUCUCUCUGAUUCGGGCGCGAAUCGCGGAUCUAUCUUAAAUAAAGCCGCGAUGCGGAGGCGUGCUCUUACAAUGUCACGUGACGUUCACUGACUGUCUUCUCCAAGAAUACAUUCAAGAAUACUUCCUACGCGCGCUACAAGCUUUUGGCUAUCGAAACUGACUCCGUAAUACUUACGGUUAGUUCAUAAUUAACUCGAGCUUUGUACAUUCUCGCUGUUUCUCGUGACAAUUACAUAUUUCGAUCUUCACCGUAUUCCUGCAUUGAUUCGUCAUCUCGCGAUUGCUACAAGGUGUUGCAUCUCACCAUCUAAACUGAAAUAUCUGACGUGUGAAUCGACGAUGUGCAAGAAAUAGACUCGAUAUAAUUCGUCUGUGAUAGUGACAUUAUCUCUGAUCGUCUAAGCACACAUCGUCGAUAUGUUGUCGAAUCUUUCUAUUUUUGUGACAUCGAAUUUGCUACCUCUUCUGAAUUAUUGCGAUAGCGGGAUGACGUAAUAGUGAGCGAUAUCAAUUUUAGACAGCUGUGUUUUAAAAACAGUCUGGAAAUUCCAAGAAAGAAUUAGAACGCGUAAUUUCGUUGUCGAAAUGAGAUGUUGCAUCUUUAACAUUGUAGCGAAUUAAAGAACUGACGUUGCAUCACCAAACGAGACAUUAAUGAACUGGUAUUAAUGAAUUAAAGUUUUUCGCUCCGACCGUAUCUUGCUGGGCAAAAUCACGAAAAAUAGAGAACUUGACUGAGAUAAAAAUUUUCGAUCAGUCGAAACGAUCAGCUUGAAAGUUGGCUUAUUCCCAAAUCGUAACAAAUACUGGAGAUAUUUUUUCGAGUGUCGCAAAUAAAACUGAGAUCCGAGCAUAGAUGAGAAACAUUUUGAUCUCACGAGGAAAUAUUUAGAUCGACAAUUACCAGAAAUGUAGAAAAAAAAACACGGAAAGUGCUAAAAGUACAUUUUUUAAGUGUGGGCUACCCCCAAAGUGUGCUAUUUUAGGAUAUUGGAUUAUACGCAUUUUUUAAAGCUACACAUUUCCUUCGAUUUGCUUCUUUCUCGUUUAAUAUAUAGAUAUACAUAUAUGCAUGUAUGCGGAAUGUUGUAUAAUUAAUGGUCCUGACAUUAGCUUUGCGCGUUAAUUAGCGACGUAGAUUCUUGUGUAGAUCUCGUCGAGCCGUCAGCACUUUUGGAUUUUUCAGAUUUAAUUCAUUUCGGUCUCAAUAAUUGCGUGAGCACAUUUCGUCCGCACAAAAGUUAGAUGAGUUUUGCGUGCAUCGCUUCGCGAGAUAAUUCUGAACAAUGAAUCACAAUCUUUAGAGACGGCGAUUUAAGCGGAUUGCUACGCGGAUUAUGUAUAAGCUUGAUUGAUAAACCCUCCUUUAUAGAGGAAAGGCAUAAAAUCAACUAUAAAACAAUUAUUAAAAAAUGACGUGCACGUCGCCAAAAAAAUAUGUAAAACUUACGUGUAUGUACUAUUAAUGCUAAGAAUAAUAUAUUUAGAUAUAAAGAUGUUUGCAUACUAAAUUACUUCGUUACUCCGCAAAUUCCAUCUACUAGCGGCAAGUGCUAAUGAAACAAUCUUGAAUACUGAAAAUAGCUCCUGAUCCACGUUUCGUCUAAAAAUAUACAUUCGCAUUUAAGUCAUGCAAUCCAAAAUAUCUCUAACGAAAUAGCCCACCUGGAUAAUCAUUUUUGCAAUAUCUCACUGACGAAAAAGCAAACGAAUUUCAGACCUCAGAACAGAAAUUUAUCGAUGGGUACAUUUUGGUUUUCAGAAAAAUUAUUUAUUCGAUCGAGAGACAUGUAAAAGUGAAUCGCAAAUUUAUAUAAAUUUAACGAAAAGCACUUGUGGCGAGUGUAUCGGGAGAAAACGCAAGUAAUCUAAUUUUAAGCGUAAUUCUUAGCUCUUCGGACGAAUCAUAUUAUGUGGCAUUAUUAUAGUAGUAAUAAUACAUACAUAUAUAUAAGCUUGUAAUUAAGUUAUUACUUUAUCUACUUAUAUAACGCGCGGUAUUACUUACCGCGCGAUACUAUUUGUCACUCGAUACCACAUUCAACGAACAAUAAUAAUUAAUCGAUAAUUCCAGACAGAAAUCUUAUAAUAUAAUACCUUAAGAGAUUCUCUUAUCUCUCUAUCUUUAUUCCGAGAUAUUGUCGUGAAAUGUUUCAUGUUUACGUGUCACAGACUUCAGAUAAAAACUCUAAAAAAUGACUCGAUACUCUGAUUGUCUCUAGGGAUAAAAACUAAAUAUAUUGAUACUGGAUAAAACGACCAUGAUUAUUCGUGCGUGUCCCGUAGAAAGUAUGUUAUGAUAAAUAAAGCGUAUGUAUAUGUACAAUAUAUCAGCAUACAUAAGUCUUUAAGAUGGAUACAUAUAGUAAUCAUCCGUUAGUCCGAUGCUUGUAACUCGAUGGACUAUUGAUGUUAUUAUAUCGAUUCUUCUCGGUUUGUAACAACAUUAAUCAAAUUAUUUUUAGAUGCAAAAAUAUUAUGUCAGAACAGUUUUAGAUUGAGAGAGCGAAUGCGUAUUUUCUGUUAACAUGAAAUAAAAAAUUUGUAAUUUGCCGAAAUCACAUAUGAUUCGUUGACAAAAAUGCGCAAGAUUUGAUUCUGAUACGCGGCUUAUAUACCUAUUUUAUAUCUGAUUUUACUUAAUUCUGUAUUCAUGCAGCGUGUAGAAAUAGGCCCGAUACCAUUUCUUGGCUAAGAGAGAAACAAUAAAGUGGAAUCCGACAUAUA